AACGAACGCUGGCGGCAGGCCUAACACAUGCAAGUCGAGCGGACCCUUCGGGGUUAGCGGCGGACGGGUGAGUAACGCGUGGGAAUAUGCCCUUCUCUACGGAAUAGUCCUGGGAAACUGGGUGUAAUACCGUAUACGCCCUUUGGGGGAAAGAUUUAUCGGGGAAGGAUUAGCCCGCGUUGGAUUAGGUAGUUGGUGGGGUAAUGGCCUACCAAGCCGACGAUCCAUAGCUGGUUUGAGAGGAUGAUCAGCCACACUGGGACUGAGACACGGCCCAGACUCCUACGGGAGGCAGCAGUGGGGAAUCUUAGACAAUGGGGGCAACCCUGAUCUAGCCAUGCCGCGUGAGUGAUGAAGGCCUUAGGGUUGUAAAGCUCUUUCAGCUGGGAAGAUAAUGACGGUACCAGCAGAAGAAGCCCCGGCUAACUCCGUG
rnacentral:rRNA from 1 species